UACGGGGGGGGGCAAGCGUUGUUCGGAAUUACUGGGCGUAAAGGGCUCGUAGGCGGCCAACUAAGUCGGAUGUGAAAGCCCCGGGCUCAACCUGGGAAUUGCGAUGAAGACUGCAAGGCUUGAAUCUGGCAGAGGGGGGGUAGAAUUCCACGUGUAGCAGUGAAAUGCGUAGAGAUGUGGAGGAACACCGAUGGCGAAGGCAGCCCCCCUGGGUCAAGAUUGACGCUCAUGCACGAAAGCGUGGGGAGCAAACAGG
rnacentral:rRNA from 1 species